GGCAGUUCUCGGGUGAUGCACCCCGGAAUUGGGCUUCCUCCUCUCUGGUUCCGGAGUGCGUCACCAGAGAAUAAGA
rfam:Myotis brandtii contig301132, whole genome shotgun sequence.